rnacentral:rRNA from 1 species
UGGGGAAUAUUGGACAACGGGGGGCAACCCCUGAUCCAGCCAUGCCGCGUGAGUGAUGAAGGCCUUCGGGUUGUAAAGCUCUUUUGGCGGGGACGAUGAUGACGGUACCCGCAGAAUAAGCCCCGGCUAACUUCGUGCCAGCAGCCGCGGUAAGACGAAGGGGGCUAGCGUUGUUCGGAAUUACUGGGCGUAAAGCAAGUGUAGGCGGUUGCCGUAGUCAGGUGUGAAAGCCUUGAGCUCAACUCAAGAAAUGCACUUGAUACUGGGGUGACUAGAGGACCGGGAGAGGAUAGUGGAAUUCCCAGUGUAGUGGUGAAAUACGUAGAGAUUGGGAAGAACACCAGUGGCGAAGGCGGCUAUCUGGACGGUUACUGACGCUAAGACUCGAAAGCGUGGGGAGCAAACAGGAUUAGAUACCCUGGUAGUCCACGCCGUAAACGAUGGGUGCUAGACGUUGGCGAGCUUGCUCGUCAGUGUCGCAGCUAACGCGUUAAGCACCCCGCCUGGGGAGUACGGCCGCAAGGUUGAAACUC